GACGAACGCUGGCGGCGUGCUUAACACAUGCAAGUCGAACGGAAAGGCCCUGCUUUUGUGGGGUGCUCGAGUGGCGAACGGGUGAGUAACACGUGAGUAACCUGCCCUUGACUUUGGGAUAACUUCAGGAAACUGGGGCUAAUACCGGAUAGGAGCUCCUGCUGCAUGGUGGGGGUUGGAAAGUUUCGGGGGUUGGGGAUGGACUCGCGGCUUAUCAGCUUGUUGGUGGGGUAGUGGCUUACCAAGGCUUGGACGGGUAGCCGGCCUGAGAGGGUGACCGGCCACAAUGGGAUAGAGGAGGCACCCGGAGUGAUUCGGGAGGCAGCAGCGAGGGAUGGAGCAAGAUGGGCGGAGGGAGGAAGGAAGGAUGCCGGGUCGGGGAAGGCGGCCGGCAGGUAAGAACGCGGGUGAGCGUGGAAAGAUGCGUAAGUGACGGUAAUGACUAAGGAAGGAACGGCUAACUACGUG
rnacentral:rRNA from 1 species